CGGGCGCUGAGGGGAGGGAGGGCAGCGAGCGGCCCCGCGCCUCGGAUCCACCGGCUCCGGCCGCGGCAAGGCACCUCCGCCUCCUCCGCGCAGAAAAAUCCUGCUCUGCCCCAGAAUGAGAGACUUCAGGACUUUGCUAAUCACCUUCAUCCUCUUUCAGCCUCAAAGAGAAGUUUCAGAGUGGAAUGUGGAUGCUACGUGUGACGUGCCAUUUCCCCUCUCCGGUGGAUCGUUGCUUCUGUACUUGGUGUGCAUGUAGCGUCCCCUAGUGAAAUACCAUCUCUCUUCCCCUGCCCCUGGCUCCCCCAGCA
rnacentral:lncRNA from 1 species